rnacentral:tRNA from 1 species
AUUCACAAUCCACUGCCUUGAUCCACUUGGCUACAUCCGC